ensembl:lncRNA
CUAGUUCUGUCUGUCUCUUCCUGGUUAUGGAUUCUAGUUCUGUCUGUCUCUUCCUGGUUAUGGAUUCUAGUUCUGUCUGUCUCUUCCUGGUUAUGGAUUCCAUCGCUAUCUGUGUUUAGUUCUGUCUGUCUCUUCCUGGUUAUGGAUUCUAGUUCUGUCUGUCUCUUCCUGGUUAUGGAUUCUAGUUCUGUCUGUCUCUUCCUGGUUAUGGAUUCUAGUUCUGUCUGUCUCUUCCUGGUUAUGGAUUCUAGUUCUGCCUGUCUCUUCCUGGUUAUGGAUUCUAGUUCUGCCUGUCUCUUCCUGGUUAUGGAUUCCAUUGCUAUCUGUGUUUAGUUCUGUCUUCGUUUUAAGAAUUAUGUCGUCAGUUAAUGGAGAAAGAAAGAGAAAGCAUGUCUUGUGUUUAAAAUGUAAGAGUCUGAUCUGAUUCAUUUAUAUCAGGGCAAGCCGUAGAUAUACAUAACAGAGUUCUGGAAACUAUCCUCCAUUUCAGCUCCAAAUUUCCAAUCCCAAUCUCUAUGGAUAACUCUAUUUCUGGGUAAAUCUUUGAGUCUUCUUGGUUUUGCCCUCUCCCACGCCCUGAGUUUAUUUGCACAGUGACAGUGGACCAGGCCUGUCCCGUCUUAGAGAUGAAGUGCAGUGAGGAAAAAAAUAAUGUCAAAAAAUUUGUCCAAGUCAACGUGGAUUUCCUUGUUGUUAUUACUGUCAUCGUCCAAUUUGUGCUUCACUACAAAGCCUGAGAUUUGGAUUGAAUCCCAAAUGGUGUGCUGUAUGUUGCUCCUAGCCUGUGUGGUUGUCAGAUGUGUUUCAGCUUUUGCCCACUUUAGUAAGUAAACUGCUUUUGUUGACUCAAACAUUGGUUGGUUGUAGUGACAGUGCCAUUGUGUCAAUAAUGAGGAAAGCCAAAAUGCCAAAGGUUGGGCCUUUUGGCAAUUUGAAGAGAUCAUUAAAAAAAUGUUUUCUAGGACUCUUCUGUUGACGAUGUAUAAAAUGUAUGUUGGUCUGAUGUGUAUGAGGAAGGGAAUCCAGAUGUGUAUGAGGAAGGGAAUCCAGAUGUGUAUGAGGAAGGGAAUCCAGAUGUGUAUGAGGAAGAGAAUCCAGGUGUGUAUGAGGAAGGGAAUCCAGGUGUGUAUGAGGAAGGGAAUCCAGGUGUGUAUGAGGAAGGGAAUCCAGGUGUGUAUGAGGAAGGGAAUCCAGGUGUGUAUGAGGAAGGGAAUCCAGGUGUGUAUGAGGAAGGGAAUCCAGAUGUGUAUGAGGAAGAGAAUACAGGUGUGUAUGAGGAAGGGAAUCCAGAUGUGUAUGAGGAAGGGAAUCCAGUUGUGUAUGAGGAAGGGAAUCCAGAUGUGUAUGAGGAAGGUUAUCCAGGUGUGUAUGAGGAAGAGAAUCCAGAUGUAGUACUGGAAGUAUUUGUAGAAAUAUUCCUGCCAGUUGUUGCCCAGCACCUGUUUAGUAUAUAACUGGAAGAACUGUUAGGGCCCCUGGAUCGAUGAUGAAUUUAAGAAUCGUAUGGUUCAAAGACACAAUGAAAAAGAGGUGACAUCACAAGUCAGGCUGCUCAGCUGAUUGGUUGACAUUCUGUAACUUGAGACAUUUUGUGACUAAACUUAACAAAAAUCAAUAAAUAAAAAUUAUAUUUCCAAACCAAGAUAAAUGACAUAAAACACAAUGGAAAAGGCUUUGGAGAACCUUAAAUUAUAUCAUGGGCAGAAAACCCAAUUCAUUUCCAUCGUUCAUUGAAGUUUAUGGAUAAUUUAUAACAAAACCUUUUGAUAUUAACCAAUCAUUUCAAUGACUAUUUAACUAGUAAAGUGGAAAAACUCAGAGGUGAAAUUAAAACAUUGAACAAGUGAACCAUCAUAUGUUUAUAUAAAAUAUCUAAUAAUGAAAAAGGAUUUUGCUGUUUUCAAUUUGGUCAAGUUAGUGUUGGAGAGGUGGAAAAACCAUUGUUAUCUAUCAAUAAUGAUAAGCCUAUAGGUAUAGACAACCAUGAUGGGGAACUAUAUAGAAUGGCAGCAGACUGUAUCGCCACCCCUAUUUGCUCUGUCUUUAACCAAAGCCUAAAGGAGUGGGUGUGUCCACAGGCGUGGAAGGAAGUUAAACCAAAUCCACUGCCUAAAAAUAGUAAAGCACCCUUUGCUGGCUCUAACAGCCGACCAAUCAGUUUGCUGCCUGUUCUUAUUAAACUGAUGGAGACAAUUGUGUUUGACCAAAUACAAUGCCAUUUUUCAGAGAACAAGUUAACUCCUGACUUUCAACAUGGGGCACUCAACUUGUACGGCACUGACUCAGAUGACUGAUGAUUGGUUAAAAGAAACGGAUAGUAAGAUAAUAGUCGGAGCUGAAAUGUUAGAUUUCAUUGAGGCCUUUGAUGUUUAUUGAAGAAACUCACUUGCUAUGGUUUUACAUCACCUGCCAUUGGAAUGGGUUAGAAUGUUGGAUAAAUUACAUUCCAUUGGGUUGGAAUGUUAUUUAUCCAAUAGGACCCAGAGAGUGUUCUUCAAUGGAAGCUUCUCUAACAUCAGAUAUGUACAGUGCGGUGUCCCUCAGGGCAGUUGACUUGGGCACUUCCUCUUCUCUAUUAUUCCAAAUGAGUUGCCACUGGUCUUACACAAAGCUACAAUGACUAAUGCUGAUGAUUCCACAGUCUACAUGUCAGCACCCAAAGCCAGUGAGCUCACUGAAAUUCUAGUUACAGUUAGUAUCAGAAUGGGUCAUUAAUACUGAACUGGUUUUUAAUAAAUAUAGAACUAAAAGCAUUGUGUUUGGUUCAAAAACAUUCUCUAAGACCUAAACCUAAACUGGAGUUGUACAUAAAGGGUGUGGAAGACGUGGAUGUCGAUUAAGGCAGCCCCCCGCACCUCUCUGAUUCAGAGUGGUUGGGUUAAAUGCGGAAGACACAUUUCAGUUUAAUACAUUCAGUUGGACAACUGACUAGGUAUCCCCCCUUUUCCCCAUUGAGCAAGUUGAGGAAGCUAAACUCUUAGCUUGUUAUAAAAACAUGUUCUGUAUUUUUGACACAAAGAUCAACUGAACUAGUUGUUCAGGCUCUGAUCUUGUCUGACCUUGAUAACCGUCCGCCAAUAUGGUCAAGUGUAUCAAAGAAAGACCAAGCAAAAGCUGUAGCUCAAAACAGAGCAUCACCUUUAAAGGCCCAUAUACAAUUAACAUCAACAACAUCAACUACAUCAACUAACAUCAACAACAUCAACUAACAACAUCAACUAACAUCAACUUUCCUGGUUGAGGAUUAACGAGAAAUUAACUACUUUUCUUCUAGUUUUUAUGAGAGAAAAAUUACUGUGAUGAAAACUGCAGAUUGUCUGCAUCAUCAAAUAACAUUCAGCUCAGACACCCCAUACAUACCCAACAAGACAUGCCACCAGGGGUCUCUUCAGACACCCCAUACAUACCCAACAAGACAUGCCACCAGGGGUCUCUUCAGACACCCCAUACAUACCCAACAAGACAUGCCACCAGGGGUCUCUUCAGCCACCCCAUACAUACCCAACAAGACAUGCCACCAGGGGUCUCUUCAGACACCCCAUACAUACCCAACAAGACAUGCCACCAGGGGUCUCUUCAGCCACCCCAUACAUACCCAACAAGACAUGACCAGGGGUCUCUUCAGACACCCCAUACAUACCCAACAAGACAUGCCACCAGGGGUCUCUUCAGACACCCCAUACAUACCCAACAAGACAUGCCACCAGGGGUCUCUUCAGCCACCCCAUACAUACCCAACAAGACAUGCCACCAGGGGUCUCUUCAGACACCCCAAACAUACCCAACAAGACAUGCCACCA